rnacentral:rRNA from 1 species
GGGUUCGAUCCUGGCUCAGGAUGAACACUGGCGAUAUGCUUCACACAUUCAAGUCAAAUAGGAAACAAGAGAAAUGAUGUUUCCAGUUGUUGAUGGGUGAGUAAGGCAAUCGAACCUACCUUUGGGAGGGGAAAAACAGCUGGAAAUGGCUUCUUAUACCCCAUAGGCUUGGGAGAAAAAUAAGGAAUCCGCAGAAGAGAGGAUCACAUCUGAUUAGCUAGUUGGGGAGGCAAUUUCUUACCAAGGCAACCAUUAGUAGCUGGUCUGAGAGAAUGAUCAGUCACACAAGGACUAAGACAUAGCCCAGACUCCUAUAGGAGGUAGCAGUGGGGAAUAUUUUGCAAAAGCCUGACGGAGCAAUGCUGUGUGAAGGAGAAGGCCCACAGAUCAUGAACUUCUUUUCCCAGAGAAAAAGCAAUAACGAUACUUGGGGAAUAAGAAUCACUUAGAUGUGUGCCAGUAGCUAUGAUAAUAUAGAGGAUGCAAGCGUUAUUAGGAAUGAUUAGGCAUAAAGUGUCUGUAGGUGGAUUUUUAAGUCUGUCGUCAAAUCCCAGGGCUCAACCUUUGACAGGCAGUGGAAACUACCAAGAUGGAGUAUGGUAGGUGAAGUAGGAAUUUUUGGUGGAGCGAUGAAAUGCAUAGAGAUUUGAAAAAACACUAAUGGUGAAAGUACUCUGCUGGGAUGACACUGACACAUAGAGAUAAAAUCUAGGGUAGCGAAUAUGAUUAGAUACACUAGUAGUCUUAGCCCUGAAUAAUAAAUACUAGGAGCUGUGUGUAUCAACCAGCACAGUCUUGUAGCUAACUCAUUAAUCAGCCCGCUUGGGGAAUACGUUCGCAAUAAUGAAACUCAAAGGAAUUGACGGAGGCCUACACAAGCGGCGGAGCAUGUGGUUCAAUUUAAUGCAAAGCAAAGAACCUUAUGAAGGCUUCACAUGUUGCAAAUCCUCUUGAAAGAGAGGGGUACCUUCAAGAAUGCAGACACAGGAAGUGCAUAGCUAUCGUCAGCUUGUGUCGUAGCGCAUUGUGUUAAUUCCCUCAAAGGACAAAACCCUCGUGUUUAGUUUCCAUUAUUAUAUUUAGAACCCUGAACAAGCUUUUGAUAACAAGAUGGAGGAAGGUGAGGAUGACGUCAAGUCAUCAAGCCCCUUAUUCCCUGGGCAACACACAUGCUACAAUGGGACAAAGGGUCACGAUCUUCUGAGGGUGAGCUUACCCCAAAAAACCAUUCUGUGUUUGGAUUACGGCUGCAACUCGCCUGCAUGAAGCCAUAACCACUAGUAAUCGCCGGUUAGCCAUACAUAAUUACCUAACAUUACUUACAGUACCUAACAUUACUAACAGUACCUGACAUGACAGACUAGUAGUUGAUUCCAUGCAACUUAGGUCUGCCAUAGAAAAUAACCUAAGUUAGUAUGGAUCUCUUCCACUUAUUGUAGG